CAGAGGCUGCAGUGAACCAAGAUCAUGCCACUGCACUCCAGCCUGGGUGAUAGAGCAAGACCUUGUCUUAAAAAAAAAAAAAAUUUCUUCAGCAGGAUACAGACCCCCCGCAAAAAUGAACAUUUUAAAGAUUCAUAUUAUAUAUUGUAAAACUGCCUUCCCAGAAAUAUUUUAUCAAUUUGUGUAGUUUUACCAGAAAUAAAUGAGUGUCCAUUUUGCUGCUUUCUGGCCAAUAGUGGUUAUUGACAUUCUUUUCAUCUUUGCCAAUUUCAUACAUGGAAUACUAUAUUACAUUUUGUUUUAGCUUUUAUUCCUUUUUUUUUUUUUUUUGCAAUGGAGUCUUACUCUGUCACCCAGGCUGGAGUGCAGACUCUGUCACCCAGGCUGGAGUGCAGUGGCGCAAUCUUGGCUCACUGCACCUCCACCUCCCGGGUUCAAGCAAUUCUCCUGCCUCAGCCUCCUGAGUAGCUGAGACCACAGGUGUGUGCCACCACGCCUGGCUAAUUUUUUGUGUUUUUAGUAGAGACAGGGUUUUGUUAUGUUGGCCAGGCUGGUCUUUUUCUCUUCUUUAUUUUGUUUGAGGUUAUUAUUGUGACUCUCUGGCUAACUCCUACUUAUCCUCAGGCCUUUUCUGAACUCACAAUUCAAAUUACAGCUCCCUUUGGUUCUCUUCCACAGCAGUUGUACUUACAUAUGUCUAUUUAUAUAAUUAUGAAUUUGUUUCAUAUUUGUCGCCCUUUACAUGGUAAACUUAAUGAAUUUUGGGGCUCCAUCUGUUUUGCUCACCACUUGAUCCUUGGCAUGUAGCACACAAUGGCUGCUCAAUACCUAUUUACUGAAUGAGCAAAUGGGCUGGACCACUUUUAGAGACUGGAGAUAUUUGGCAAGAGAUUUUGGCAUUUAGUGGGUACUACAGGGGAAAAUGUUAUCAACAAUUGCUUAUAAGACUGAUUUUGGCGCGUAUGUUUUGUAUUCCUUCGGGGUUUUUUUGUUUGUUUGUUUGUUUUUAAUGAAUCCCUGGAAAUUAUCACCAGACCGACUCAAAAUUACAAAGUUUUUCAGAGCUUAUACACCUUCUAAGCUAUAUGUCUGGGAUUACAGGCGUGAGCCAAGUGCUGGGAUUACAGGCGUGAGCCACCAUGCCCGGCCAAUGCGUACCUUUAUUGCUACACCAUGGUGUUGAAUAUUAUUAUGUAUAAAUAACUAUUGGUUUCAUACAAUAGAAGAUUAGAGAAUCUUAUUCCCAAAUAUUUGACUCGAGUUUGAUGCCAGUCUGGCCAACAUGGCCAAACCAUGUCUUUACUAAAAAUACAAAAAUUAGCUGGACCUGGUGGCCCAUGCCUGUAAUCCGAGCUCCUUGGGUGGCUGAGGCACAAGAAUCGCAUGAACUCGGGAGGUGAAGGUUGCAGUGAGCUCAGACCCUGCCACUGCACCUUAGCCCGGGUGACAGAGUGAGACUGUCUCAACAAAAAAAAAGAGAGAAGAUCUACUCAUAAAUUCCAAACAAUGUGGCAUGAAUGGAGUGGCCUGAUAACCCAAACUCUAAUGACCAAAUUUAAUAACUUUUAUUAUUACCCCAUACAUAUUGUUUCUGUAAAUGUUAAUAUUAAUUUCUAUUUUUCUGAAAAAAAGUGAUGUUAUGUAUUACUAGAAAUAUGCAAAGGGACUCUGAAAAAAUGGUUUUUUUUCAUUUAAAGAAAUUGCAUAUUAAUUUUUCAUCGGUACUCUCACUGUGUGUAAAAUAUCUCUGGCUAAAAAGUAAACUUACUGUGUUAUGAAAUGUAGCUUAUGUUUAUACUCUUACAAGUAUCAGUAUUAAUGGUGUACAAUUUUUAAAACAUUGAAGCUGUUUUAUUUUGGUUAAUUAAGAGUGUAAAAUACAAAAAGUGAGAUUCCAGGGAAAGUGCCCACCAAGAUCAAGGAUAUCUAUGCCAAUUAAAAGGAAUGCUAUAUUGCAUAGAAAUGAAUGGAGACCACCAGCUGGAGCCCAGAAGGCCAGAUCUGUAAGUCAUUCUAAACCCUCCUUUGUGUUUUUUAGCUAUGGUAUAUUCUUUUUGUUUGUUUGUUUGUUUGUUUUGAGACGGAGUCUCGCUCUGUCGCCAGGCUGGAGUGCAGUGGCGCGAUCUCGGCUCACCGCAAACUCCGCCUCCCGGGUUCAAGCGAUUCUUCUGCCCCAGCCUCCUGAGUAGCUGGGACUACAGACGUGUGCCACUAUGCCCAGCUAAUUUUUGUAUUUUUGGUAGAGAUGGGGUUUCACCAUAUUGGUCAGAAUGGUUUCCAUCUCUUGACCUUGUGAUCCACCUGCCUGGGCCUCCCAAAGUGCUGGGAUUACAGGUGUGAGCCAUGGCGGCCGGCCCCGGCUAAUUUUUGUACUUCUAGUAGAGACAGGGUUUCACCAUGUUGGUCAGACUGGUCUCGAACUCCUGACCUUGCAGUCAGGCUGCCUUGGCCUCCCAAAGUGCUGGUAUUACAGGCAUGAGCCACUGCACCCAGCUGUUAUAUUCUUUUUCUUUAAUUUUUUAAUUAAAAAAAAAAUUUUUGUGGGUACAUAGUAAGUGUAUAUAUUUAUGGGGUACAUGAGAUGUUUUGAUACAGGCAAGCAAUGUGAAAUAAGCACAUCAUGGAGAAUAGGGUGUUUGUCCCCUCAAGUAUUUAUCCUUUGAGUUACAAACAACCCAGUUAUACUCUGUAACUUAUUUCAAAAUGUACAAUUAAGUUACUAUUGACCAUAGGCAGUCUAUUGUGCUAUCAAAUAGUAGGUCUUAUUCAUUCUUUUGUUUUUUUAACCCAUUAAGCUAUGGUAUAUUCUGACAGACCUAUCUGCACAUGUUCAUGAGGUACAAGCUUAUUGUUUGG
rnacentral:lncRNA from 1 species